rnacentral:rRNA from 1 species
UAAUUGAAGAGUUUGAUCAUGGCUCAGAUUGAACGCUGGCGGCAGGCCUAACACAUGCAAGUCGAACGGUAACAGGGAGCAGCUUGCUGCUCUGCUGACGAGUGGCGGACGGGUGAGUA